UACGUAGGGUGCAAGCGUUGUCCGGAAUUAUUGGGCGUAAAGAGCUCGUAGGCGGUUUGUCGCGUCUGCUGUGAAAACUCGGGGCUCAACUCCGAGCUUGCAGUGGGUACGGGCAGACUAGAGUGCGGUAGGGGAGACUGGAAUUCCUGGUGUAGCGGUGGAAUGCGCAGAUAUCAGGAGGAACACCGGUGGCGAAGGCGGGGUCUCUGGGCCGUAACUGACGCUGAGGAGCGAAAGCAUGGGGAGCGAACAGG
rnacentral:rRNA from 1 species